UACCUGUGUGACUGCGUACCUUUUGUAUAAUGGGUCAGCGACUUAUAUUCUGUAGCAAGGUUAACCGUAUAGGGGAGCCGUAGGGAAACCGAGUCUUAACCGGGCGUUAAGUUGCAGGGUAUAGACCCGAAACCCGGUGAUCUAGCCAUGGGCAGGUUGAAGGUUGGGUAACACUAACUGGAGGACCGAACCGACUAAUGUUGAAAAAUUAGCGGAUGACCUGUGGCUGGGGGUGAAAGGCCAAUCAAACCGGGAGAUAGCUGGUUCUCCCCGAAAGCUAUUUAGGUAGCGCCUCGUGAAUUCAUCUCCGGGGGUAGAGCACUGUUUCGGCUAGGGGGCCAUCCCGGCUUACCAACCCGAUGCAAACUGCGAAUACCGGAGAAUGUUAUCACGGGAGACACACGGCGGGUGCUAACGUCCGUCGUGAAGAGGGAAACAACCCAGACCGCCAGCUAAGGUCCCAAAGUCAUGGUUAAGUGGGAAACGAUGUGGGAAGGCCCAGACAGCCAGGAUGUUGGCUUAGAAGCAGCCAUCAUUUAAAGAAAGCGUAAUAGCUCACUGGUCGAGUCGGCCUGCGCGGAAGAUGUAACGGGGCUAAACCAU
rnacentral:rRNA from 1 species